AGCAGAGCAUUUUGUUCGGCACACGCCAUCGCCGCAAAGCUGAAGCUAGCUCAAGCUUGAGUAAAAUAGGCUAGCUACUAUUUGCUAAGUACAAACGAUUUUAUAGAUCGCCUCUUGCGAAGGUGACUUGGAUAUAUUCUAGCAUUAAAAUUUAAUAGUAUCUGCAGCAGAUUUCUUCACGCACCCCCCCAUCCGUUCUCCUUUCUGUAUGGGCAGUGCUUAUAUGGAGAUCCGUUUACUGAAAAGUGGGAGGAGAUUGACAGACAAAAUCUCUCGUCUGUUUUUUUUUUCCUUGAGAGCGAAGCUUCAGCACAAAGGAAGCAGCUGGGUAUUUGACCAGAGAAUAUACGCUUGGUGGUUGCCUCUUCUUCUAAUGUGUCAAGACUUGCCAAAAAUCAGGAUUUACCUUGGCUUCUCCAGUUUUAUCACAUAAAGAUGGGCAGAUUUGAAUUGAAUAUGAUGCACCAUGAAGACCGGUAUUUCAGCAAGCUUUUAAACAUCAUCAUGUCAAUACUCUUCUAUGAUGGAUGAACAUAAGCUGCAGAAUAUUUUGAAAGUAGGAGUUUCAGAAGGUAUGGGGUGGGAUUUGACUUUUAAAAAUAAUUUUCAAAUCAUAACUCAUUAAAGCACUCUGUUGUGUACUAUAUUUGCAGAGAGAGUGAUUUUUUUUCUCCAUUAAGUUACUUAGCUUGACAAAUAUUGCUUAAGACCUUUAUAGGGAAAACUUCAAUGCCUAAAAUUUUGUAAACAAAUUUUAAACUGCUUUCUUGUAAGUCAAGUAAACAAAGACUUGGCAGAAAAUUUGCUUUUAUCUUCAGUUGUAACCAUGGAAAUCAAGUACAAGGUACUGUGAUAAAAUUGUUGUUUGAAGUUGUAGAAAAAUGAUUUUAUUCAAUGGAGAGUUUAAAGGUAUAUUUAAAUGGAAAGUAAAAUACAUAAUUGUGAUACUGAAAGUAGUGUAUAUUUUUAUGUAUUUAAGAUGAAGAUAAUGAGGCCUCCAACAAGAUGUGCAAAAGCAUUGACAAUGAACUCCAAGCACUGGUAAGAUUGCAUAUACAGAGCUGCAAGAAGGUCCUGGCAUUUUUCCAUACACAACCUUCAGAGAAGACAGUAGGUGUGCAUCCAGCAUUGUUUCUAUUAUUCAGUGCAGGCAUUUAUGUCUUGCUUUGACAUAUACAUGUCACACUGUAGCUUCCCAAGGGCAACUUUGGUCAUAGCCCUUCUCUUGUAAUGAGCAAUUCUACAAGUAUCUUUACAACUUACCUGGGAUCCCAUAAAAUGUUAUAAAUAUGUCACUAAACUGCAGUUUUGAUAUGGAGACAUCCUUAAAGAUUAGUAACAAGAAAUUAAAAUAGAGACUAAAUCCACGUAUUGGCACAGUAAAAGCAAGGCAGAUAUUAAUUAGCCUGCAUAUUAGAGGCAUAUUUAAUCAAUUGUCAUUGAAAACCAAAGUAAUGUAAAAUUAAAUAAUAAUUUUCAUAAAGGACAUCUUGUGUGAAAAAAAAUUAUGAAACUCUUCAAAAUGAAGAUCUUUUCUCAAGUGAUAUUACUUUUUAAUCAAACAGAUACAAACCGAAAUUUCUUUUUUCGAUAAGGAACUAUAUUACCCAUAAUGCACGUUUUAAAGUAACAAAUUAGAUGUAUAUAUUAACAAACAUAUCAUAACCACUCCCCUCCACAUAUGGGAUUAUCUGCCUAGUGGGCAGAACAUCAUACUGAAACCAUUUCAGGACACUGCCUUCAAUAACUAGAAGCAGCUGCAUGCAUUUCGUUUUUUGCUGCGUUGGUUGCUUUGUGUUUUUUCCUCUUCCAGCUUCUCUUAUGUGACCUGAAUCAGUUAUACAACUUAGAGUGAUAAAACUACACCAGAAAAGAUGAUGUUCUUAGGAAUCAUUGGCUGCAAGAGAUAAAAGAUUUUUCUGUUUCCAGACUUUGCAAACCUGUCAUCUUCCAGCUGUCACAACUGUGCUCUGGGAAGAGGUUUCCCUGGACUACCAUCUCAAAUCAAUGAGUAUCUACAUGCAAAAGACAUCAGAUUCUGUUACUUUGUGUCUACAAUGCAUCCCUCACAACUUGCUCUCGAGAGAUGUAUUUUCUUUUUAAAAACCUAUACAGAUACAUGCUUUUAAAUGUGAUUUCAAAUGACUAAUAUCUAUUUCAGGUCAACACGUGUGAAAAUAAGAGAUUGUAAUAAUUCAGCCAAUACUAAAACAAAGGCAACCCUUAGAAUCAGGGGCCUGAUGACAGCCUACUCAAGUUAUUAUCUGUUUGUUAUCGCCAGUUAAUUUGCUAGGUCUAUGUAAAUUCAAUAUCAGUUUCAUCGUUUGCUUAAGAAAUGCAAAUUAGAAUUCUAGAAAAGUUGAUUUUCAUAAAAAAAUAUAGUGGUCACAAAAUUCCAGGCAUUUACUUAGUUAUCAAAUACAAUUCUGCAGUUAAAUCCUUGUAACAGAAAAAAAUGGUAUAUAUUUUUAUAAGUUUUGGUACUUAUUUGCCUUUAAAAGGUUAACAUAGUUAAUAGGAGGAACCACUGUGAACCCUGAUGCACUCAUAUUCCAAUGGAUAAUGAGCUUUAUGAGGAAGUUGUAUCCGCAUUGUUCCAGUAAACAAUGCUUAUUAACAUAUUUAGGGCAUAUUGUUUUAAAUAAUCUAUAAACAGAGCAAGGUGGAGCAAAAAGAAAAUGUUAAGAGAUUGCAUGGAGAUACAAAUAGAUCCAUAUGCAUGGAGCAGCAUUCAAGGGAUUGCAGUGUUCUCUAAUGUGGCUAUAAGCAUGCAAGCCAUGACAUACUGUAACAUGUUAUGUACUCCAAUUACCGCCCUAACAAUUUACAGUUCUCAAAUAAUGACUUUAUGUUUAACAUCAGACUUUAGAAUAUGAUACAUUUAAAAGGAAAAAGCAUCAAUGCUCACAAUUCUGUAGUAGGCAGGAAGGUUCUGAUAAUUUGAUCUGCUGUUAGGCUGAAAAUGAUCUGCAGAUGUUGUGUUUGAGCAGAUUAUCUAGCAAAAGGCAAUUUACUUUGUGGGGAUAAUUAGCAGCCAAAAGUCAGAAUGCAUAUUUGAUUCUGAAAUAGGCUUAUUGCACAACUUUUAUGCUUAAGAGACAAUUAAGCUAAUUGAUUUUACAAUGUAAUAUGCUCUUGUUUAUUUGUUUAUUAUUUUGGUCUUCAUUUACUCUAUUACUCAACUAUACAACCCAAUCAUUCCCUUUAAGAGUGAUAAAACAGCUAUUUAUAGAUAUUCAUUAUAAAGGAGAGACUUGAAUUUGUAAUGUUUAUAUUACAAAUAGAUAAAGGCUUAUCAACAGUUUUUUUUAUUGCUUUUACCAUUCUACAUAAAUCACCACAUCACCUCCCUCCCAUCACACUACCACCCCUCCUACUGGCCUAGCUCCCUCCUGGUAAUUUAGUUUAAGUUUUAUUGGCCAAGACUACAAUUCUCACAAUGCGUUGUAUAUUUUGUGAAUCUCCUUUUUUACAGAACUGUUGAUCACAGAUAUAUGCAAGGCACUGUGGUAUCUGGAGUCUUGGCUGGAGGAGAGUUUACCACUGUUAAAUUAUUUUAAUGGCACAUGUGGUCAGAACUGAUGCAGGGCAAUGUGCCGGGAACUGCAAGUUGAAGACAGAUUCUGCUUAAAAUAGCAAUUACACUUACAAAUAACUAGCCCGUUCUGUUUGAUGAAUGAAUCUCACAUCACUUUGGUAAAAGGCCUAUUUGAUCUAACCUGCAGCUUGACCACUUUAGAGCUCGCUCAAUGGCUUGUGUUUGUGCUCCACUUGCAUGUCUUGCAAAUUACCUUUUGAACAUUUGUGGAAAGCUUUAACAGCAAGAGUCUAUAAAUGCAUGCACUGGAAGGAAAUUAGAGCAUUAAGCCCAGGUGAGAGAAACUGUUAAAGACUCAUUUAGACUCCAGGAAGACAGAUCACAAAAGCACUGUUUAUUUGUUUCACUUUUUUUAUAGCCAGUAACUGAGACUUGUUUUAUAUUGCCAUACGCUGGUAAUUAUCUUCCGGUUCAAAGAGGGUAUAAGAAAUGAGUACUGCUCAUGCUGUGAGUGGAACUAUCAAGUCAGAUAAAAUAUGUGAUUGGUUUACUGAGCAACUACAAUGGUUUGUACUUUAAACUCAUCAUUUUGUAGAUAUCUACUCUGUCAAAGAUUUUGCAAUGGUGCUGCUGUGCAAAUGAGACUCAGGGGUCACAUUUAAAUAGGAGCUGCAGUUAUAUCAGGGUUGUGCUCUUCUGCACUAUAAACUCUUCAUUUAGUUAAAGUAUAUCAUUAUUUAAUCUGCAAAAACUAUAAUCACCGGCAGGAUUAGGAUUGUAUAUGACUUAUUUCUUAAACAUAAUUUCCACUCAAGCUGCUAUGCAGUCUUUCUUAUAGCUGACAUACAAAAUACAUAGCUCCUAAAAUGUAGAUUCCUAGAUGUUUUUAUUUCAGAAAUGCUAUACAUUAUAUUAAUUAUGCAUGCAAUCUUUUGCUUCAGCAGUAAAAAUACCAAGAUGUGGAAUACAAUAAAAUGAAAUACAGCCUGGGUCUGGGGAAAUUCAUCAUGGCUGUAAUUUAGUAGAACCUUAAUAUCAUAUAAACUAUUUCCAUUCUCUGGAUCUGUUUCCAUUAUAAUUGUACUGUUACAAAAUAAUCUAGAGAUCUAUGGCACUGAACUAAAAUGAGCCCUACAUCCAGCAGGGGUACUAUUUGCGGUUACAACCCAUCUAAUAUCAUAUCACCCUCAUACAUUUACUAAAACUGUGCCAAGAGAUUUACAGUAAAUGAGAAUAAGGGAUGAUGGGACCAAGUACAUUACCCCUCUCACCUCCCUUAAAAAAAUAUAACUAAAAGCCUAAAAGAAUGUUUCUAGUGAGGAGAAGCUGAUGGAGUAGAUAUUUUUAUUUAGUUAUAUGUUGCUUAGAAAUCUUACAUAACAGAACUAAGAAGCCCUUACAAAAUGAGAUUGGAUACAGAAGAUCUAAGGAAAAAAUGUUUGUUUCGCUGUUCAUAUACUUGUGUUAAAUAAUCAAUUUAUGUGUGCAUCCGCGUCGUAUUAUUGGUAAAAUGCAUGUAUAUUAACAUACUAACCACUGAAGACACACAGUAAAUACAACCACUGAGUCUACAGCUUUGAUUAAAUUUAACUAACACCACUUACAAAUAACUAACCAACUAACCAGGAACUAAAGCAUGCUCUACUAACCCCACUUUCUACUAACCAUGCAGAGAAACAGCAAACAUUUGAUUACUGACUCUGCUUAACUCUCUUCUUGCUACUAACGUGUAAUCAGCGAAACAACUAACUUGGACUGCUUGUUUUGUUUCUUUUCUUUCUGUUUUGUUGGUGUGGUACAAUGAAGUGUGAAAACUCAGAGGAAAAGAUGGGGAGUCUGCAAUGCUGAAUUACUAACACUUGUACUAAUUCAUGCACUAACUCUUCUAAACAUACUAAUCAUAGUGGAAUGUGCCAAAAUAAUUAAUCCUGAUGCUGUUCACAAUGACAAAUGGACUUGGGAUCUACAGGCUAGGCUAAAUGUUGGGUUGCCGUAAUGCUGCUUGCCAAAAUUACUUUAUAGAGGUUUUCUGUUUUCAUGGGGCUAAGUAUCAAGCAUACAUUUAUGAAAGUUUUUAUUGCCAACAUAUUCAGAUCACUUAUGGAUUUUAUCUACUGUGCACACCCCCCAUAUUUCUAUUAUAUUCAUAACUGUAUCUGUGCCUGUUUUAUAGAAACCAUUUCCAAGGUACUUUGUGCACUUUAAAUGGACUUUUAAGUAAAGCUUGUAAAUGUAGGAAAGUAUAAAAUGGACAAAUGCAGUUUAAAUGCCUGGCAAAAUGCAUUUAAAUGCAUGAAGCCUAAGAAGUAUGUUUUAGAUGCAUAUAAAAAUACAGAUCAUAAACACUGUAAGUACUUUUCCAUGCAAUCAUCCUUGUCUUUUUAACUGUUUUUAAUAUCCUACACAGACCACUUUUGAUGAAGCAAUCAUUUAUUAGACCCCCACUGAGAGUUAUUUCAGAAUAAUGAGCGAAGUAGCUCCAGGAAUCAACAGUUUGCAUAUUUCAGAAUUUUAAAUGUAUACUUUUUAUUGUAGAUUAAUCAUAUUGUAAUGGAUUAAUUCAUAAUGCAGAUAAUUAUACACAAAUAUUAAAGCCACAAAUGUUUAUGGCAGCAUGUGAACAUAACUAUGAAUACAUGCUUGCAAUUAGCUUGUAUUGAUGUUUUUGCUUGAACAAGGAAGAUUACAACAUGAGGUAUAUCUUAAGUUAAGUGCACAAAAGUUUACUGGGAAUGAAAUUUUUUUUUCAUAUUGAAAUCUGAUCUUUACUCCAUUUAAAUACGAGUUUGACUGUCCAAUUGACAUAUAGUAUUCGAAGAGCUUGAUACAUAGCCUCUGCCCUUUUCUAUACAGUUGCAAUGUAGCAGUGGUUGUUACUAACAUUUCCGCUGUGUCCUACGGGAGAUCUCAUGUGAUCUAUAACCCAGUGUCCAGCAAUAAAAUGGGCAAUGGUUAGCAAUAAUGGCCACUACUUCUGUAAGAGAUAAAUAAUAAUAUAUAAUCUUCUUUAACACUUAUGUUUUCAAGUAUGGUCAGACUGAUUCUGAUUGAAGCAUUUUAUCUUUAGUCGUACACAAAGUCUUUCCUCUGACUGCUAAAAAUAUUCAGUGAUUAGAUCAGCUUGCCAUGAUGUUCAACUGUCUUGUGAAAGUAUUUCGCCUUAGUGAAAUGGAUAUCUAAUUCUUAAAGUGCGCUUUCUAUCUCUUUGUGGAGCUGAUGUUUUUCUUUUGACCACUGUAAAAUCUUGCAUGUUCUUUAGGCUUCGAUUCUCAGUGCAUGCACAAGCAUCAGUUGUCAGCGUUCGUGAUAAUCUUUAAAUCUUUGGCUGCCAGAGAAGUCCCAAACACAGUGCCAUGCAAAGUGUUUGUUGAUAUCUCUGUGAUUUGAGUUGAAUAGUACUGGCCCACUGUGACAAUAAUACUAACACCAAAUGCACGCAUAAGACUUUAUAGAAAGCGUUCUUUCAAACGGAUAAAUAAAUAAUAACGAAUCACUAAUAUCUACUAACUACAAAAGCAUGCUGAAGGCUCCAUGGAGUACCUUUAACCCCUAACCUGCUGGAUUCUCUUAGAUCUUGCGUGCUACAUCUUGCAAGGCAACAUGCAGCAUGGCAUAGACCAAAGAGCAACCCACAAAUGUAAAAUUUAUGGUGUUGGAAGUCAGGUUCUUGAAAGCCAACACACUGGAUUUUACUAUCUACUGCAGGCAAGUGGUUAAAGUACUGAACACUAACAUUAAUUUAACCCUAAGCAUGUCACCUGGAUUUCUAUUUACCUUUCUUAAUCUUAUAAUAUCCCUACUAGCUGAGUUCAGAUUUACAUUGUUUUCACCCAGUAACUACAUUUGGUUGAAAUUAAUAGAGAAUGGAGCUUUUUGGACAAGAUAAUGUAAUAUACAUUUAAGCACAAUUCAAAAACUUGUCAUACUACAGCUCAAGCCAUCACAACUUCAUAACUGCCUUAGUAAUGGGGUUAGUUGUUCUAGUACUAGUUCUAGUAUUUGUUUUAGAAAGCCACCUCUAACCACUGAGAUUGUCUGUUUAAGUAAUUCAUCCUUUCUUGAAGGCAGAAAGGGAUACUCUCAUUAAAGAUAUCUUACUGAGAAAGAAAUUAAUCAUCACUAUUUACAAGCUUUAAUUGGACAUUAAAAAAGAAAGCAUGGUGCUUGCAAGCCCUAUAUCCAUUUUAGGCUUUUUUUUCAGUUAUGUUUGGAUGUACCCCUAUAAUUCUAAACCCAAUUGCAUGGAAAUACAAAGUUAGAUAACAUCGCUGAUGUGCAUCUCAAACUUCUCUUAUCUGCAUUAACAUUAACCUAGUGCUCUUUAUUUCAUUUGCUUUAUUGAUUCAUUAUAACAAAUGGAAUAGACAUGAGGUUAUCAAUUACAUUUGUGACAAUAAUAUUUUGUCUUGUGCUUAUUGGUGUUAUCUCUCUUUUAUAAUGUUGAAAGUUUUACUAACACAACAGUGCUAAUUACUUAAAUAUGUAUGUUUUAACUACUUUAUUUUUGAGCAGAAUUCUUAGGGGCUUAUCUAUAAAGAUUUGUCAACUACAAAAAAAUUAUGUAAAAGUUGGUGUAAAAUAUAUGACAUAUUUUUAAAGUUU